AAGACUGUACUUCACAGGAUCAUUUCUGUAGUACGUCUUCACUUCUCUCUACUCAACAGUAGAGUCAAUGAAACCACGAGGAUGAGACGUAGUCCACUUCCCUGAGCGUGAGGCAGACAUUGAGUCGGAAUAAUUCUGAUUCGCUGUCAUCGAUGAUCGUUCACUAUCUCUUCGGAGGUAGAGUGGGGGGUGGGCACUCUGAGUGGU